rnacentral:rRNA from 1 species
CCUACGGGUGGCAGCAGUGGGGAAUAUUGGACAAUGGGCGAAAGCCUGAUCCAGCCAUGCCGCGUGUGUGAAGAAGGCCUUCGGGUUGUAAAGCACUUUCAGUGGGGAAGAAAGCCUUGGGGCUAAUACCCUCGAGGAAGGACAUCACCCACAGAAGAAGCACCGGCUAACUCCGUGCCAGCAGCCGCGGUAAUACGGAGGGUGCGAGCGUUAAUCGGAAUUACUGGGCGUAAAGCGCGCGUAGGCGGUCUGAUAAGCCGGUUGUGAAAGCCCCGGGCUCAACCUGGGAACGGCAUCCGGAACUGUCAGGCUAGAGUGCAGGAGAGGAAGGUAGAAUUCCCGGUGUAGCGGUGAAAUGCGUAGAGAUCGGGAGGAAUACCAGUGGCGAAGGCGGCCUUCCGGACUGACACUGACGCUGAGGUGCGAAAGCGUGGGUAGCAAACAGGAUUAGAUACCCCAGUAGUC